rnacentral:rRNA from 1 species
AAUGAACGUUGGCGGCGUGGAUUAGGCAUGCAAGUCGCGCGACAAGGAACCUUCGGGUUCUGGAGGAGCGGCAAACGGGGUAGUAAGGCAUCGGAACGUACCCUCUUGUUGGGAAUAGCCGCGGGAAACUGCGAGUAAUGCCCAAUAAUCCCUACGGGGCAAAGGUCCGCCGCAGGAGGAGCGGCCGAUGUGAUACCAGCUAGUUGGUGAGGUAAUGGCUCACCAAGGCUUAGACGUCUAGGGGGUGUGAGAGCAUGGCCCCCACCACUGGACGUGAGAUACUGCCCACGANACCUACGGGUGGGCUGCA